UGCGGGAAUGGCUGGUGGCUGCACGGGAGACUUUUGUUUCAGAAUAUGGCGGGAAUUUAGUCCAAAUUUGCAUAUGCCUAUAAAUACCUGGUUUCUUUGCUAUUCAAUUAGUUGGCACAAAAGAGUAGAGAUGAGGUGCUGGUGCAAAACACUCAUGUCUUCAUCUGGCCUACAACGGCAUGUAAACCUAGGAUAAUGGAGUGAACAUAGAAAAGCGACAAGUUAAAAGUGAUUCGUUGAUCCGACGUCAAUCAUAGCUCUUGGCGGGGAACAGAUGACUCUUAGGUGUAAGUUAAAGGUUAAAGAAAAGCUAACUGGCCCUCAAUGUUACUAUUGGCAACAAAUCUGCAAGUUCAACAUGUCAAGUGUGGUGAAUUCUUGUGAGCUAGAGAUUAGUAAGGUUUUGUGAAGUCCUAUGAGCAAGAUGUUUCUAAGGUUUGUAAAUAUUCCUUGUUAUAUUAACUGAGUACAUUUGAUCCAAACUUUCACUGAGUUUUCUUCCAUGAACCUGUUUUUGCACAAUUAUUUUUUCAAGUUUUUAAACUUCAUUUUGAUAAAAUUUAAUGUUCCUUGUUAAAGGUCUUUAAUUAACAUUAAAUAAGGAUAUAUUUUCAGUUGUAUGUCUGAUGCAUCUUUAAAAUGGGAGCUUUGUUUUUUCUAAAAGAUUUGAGUGCUUUUUGUAUAUCAGAGGUUAAAUGGCUUAGAUAUUGUAGCAUACCAUACUUCUCUCUUAGGGAGAAAGAAAGCUGAAUUAAUCAUAGAUCAUACAAGAAAAAAAUCUAUUUGCUGUUGUCUGCUUCCUUUUAAGGCCACCUUUUCAGUUUUAAAUUUCUCCAUGUUUGAAAGCUUUACAGUUUGGCAAAUGUACUAAUAUCUUAUAUUUUUUUGAAUUUUAGGGCUAGAAUUUAAGAUGUCUUGGAAUUUAAUGAACAAGGUGCCAUCAAGGGUAAACUGCUUCAUGUCAAUAAACAAUCUACUUUUUGUGAAAUACACCUGCAAGGAGGGUAAAGAAUAACAUGCUGCUUGUCUCGAAACAAUCAACUGUUGUUUGUGAAAGUCACCAGCAAAACAUACAAAGGGCUAGCAUUUAGGAUGUCUUGGAAUUGAAUGAACAAGGUGCCAUUGAGCUCUUCAUUUUGUUGACAAAAGCUGGAUGUCCAUGAGAAAUUAUCAGUGAAGUUCACCUGCAAGACAUGCAAAGGGUAAACUGCUGGUCGUCUGGAAACAAAAAUCUGCUGGUUGUGAAAGUCACCCCAAAAACAUUCAAAGGGCAAAUGAUGGCUGUCCAGAAACAAUUAGCUGCUGUUUGCGAAACUCACCAGCUAAACUUGCAAAGAUGUUGGCGAAAAGAGAGCAAAUGCGAGGAAGAAGCAACCCAAUCACUCAAACGAAGAUGAUGCCAAAUUUUUUCUGCAUAAUUUCACUUAGACUUAACAGCCAAAAGGCUGUAGUCAUUUAGAAACUAGAAAUUCAUCAUCAUGAACCGUGGUCCACAUGUAGAAAAGCAAAGAAUCGUUAAUCGGACGGAAACCUCUCAAAUCGCUAGCCAGUUUCAGAAAACAUGUCCAGUGUACAGAAACAGGCUUUAAGGCUCUGAUGAAACAACAAGAUUGACAGGGAACUGAGGAGGUCCUAUUAUUUUUUUAGGUCUGAAAGAAAGAGGACUUUGAAGAAGCAGAAAGACGUUUUGGUCCACUCUACAGUUUUGCAAAGAACAAGAAGCAGCAAAAAGACGUCAAAUUGGAUCCAGCUACCAGCAAAAGACGAGAAAGUUGUCGUGCUAGACUUUGGAAACUAGUUGCAAAAAAGAACAAGAAAAGGCAUUUGUCCAGGUGCCCCAGAACAAUUUGUAUUGAUAAUAGCGGGACAUUUCUUUUAGUGUAAAUUACUAUAAAUGUAUUUUUGGUACAUGUUUCUGAUUCUUCUGGAGAAUUAUUGCAGCAUUUCAAGCACAAACAAUUCUUGUAGUGUAAUUUGUUUUAAUGUUUGGCCUUUUUCCAAUGGUCUAGCAUCUCAACUGUUUUUUUUUGCUAGAGAACCACAUGUUUAUCUGGAAAAAACGAUAGAGCAGCAUUUCGAGCACAUGUGAUAUACCGAUAAAAUUAGAACUUUAGAACUUUUACCAAUUUUCUUCUAGAGAGUUAUUGCAGCGAUUCUUGUAGAGUAAAUUAUUUUGAUGUUUGUCAUUACGUAGAACUUGUUUCUUAAAUCACAUGUCUCCAAGACUUCUUCAGGAGAGUUACAAGAAAUGGCAGAACAGCAUAUCACGUACAUCUUAGAACUUGUAGGCUAUUUGGAAAUCGCUGUUUAUCUUGUAGGCCAUGUUUA